rnacentral:rRNA from 1 species
UACGUAGGGGGCAAGCGUUGUCCGGAAUCAUUGGGCGUAAAGCGCGUGUAGGCGGCCCGAUAAGUCCGCUGUGAAAGUCCAGGGCUCAACCCUGGGAUGCCGGUGGAUACUGUCGGGCUCGAGUCCGGAAGAGGAGUGUGGAAUUCCUGGUGUAGCGGUGAAAUGCGCAGAUAUCAGGAGGAACACCAAUGGCGAAGGCAGCUCGCUGGGACGUGACUGACGCUGAGACGCGAAAGCGUGGGGAGCGAACAGG